rnacentral:rRNA from 1 species
UACGUAGGGUGCAAGCGUGUCCGGAAUUAUUGGGCGUAAAGAGCUCGUAGGCGGUCUGUCACGUCGGCUGUGAAAACCCGAGGCUCAACCUCGGGCCUGCAGUCGAUACGGGCAGACUAGAGUUCGGUAGGGGAGACUGGAAUUCCUGGUGUAGCGGUGAAAUGCGCAGAUAUCAGGAGGAACACCGGUGGCGAAGGCGGGUCUCUGGGCCGAAACUGACGCUGAGGAGCGAAAGCGUGGGGAGCGAACAGG